GGGCAGGGGUGCUGCUCAGUUGGUAGAGCAUCACUCAGCAUGCACAAGGUCUUGGGUUCAAUACCCAGCACUGUCCA
rnacentral:tRNA from 1 species